AGAAAGAGGACUGACUAAGUGGCUGACCCAUCCUGAUCCCAAUACAAAAAGCAGCAAUGAAGAAUCAGCACAUGAACGGGAGUUUCCUCAGUGCACUUAUGACAUCCCUCUCAUCACUCCUUGGUUGAAAAGACAAGAAUGGGCAGCUUACUUGCCUUUCCUGCCAUCCUAUCGGCCAGAAGUUUGGAGUGGGAAGACAAAGAGCUG